GUUUCGUUAGCUUAGUAUGCUACUUGUGUGUUACCUGACUUGAAUGCCGUGAUUUGUGAAAACAUAUAUAAAGAUGUAGCGGCAAACAUACUGAAUUGGUUCUUUCUAUCAAAAGCGGUAGGGAAUGUCUACUCCCAGCAAGGGACAUGCACAGCCACCACCGCCGCCUGUAUCUAGUAUUUCAGAAGAGUCCGACCGAGAUGGGGACAAAUAAUUCGCUAUGCAAGGUGUUCAACCGUUGGGCAAAGAAACCGAAGCGAUUGGUGUGCUAGAAUCUAGCAUGCACUCCUUGAGCAUUGCUGAAGAGCAGCAGCAUGAC